rnacentral:rRNA from 1 species
UACGAAGGGGGCUAGCGUUGCUCGGAAUUACUGGGCGUAAAGGGCGCGUAGGCGGACAGUUAAGUUGGGGGUGAAAGCCCGGGGCUCAACCUCGGAAUUGCCUUCAAUACUGGCUGUCUUGAGUAUGAGAGAGGUGUGUGGAACUCCGAGUGUAGAGGUGAAAUUCGUAGAUAUUCGGAAGAACACCAGUGGCGAAGGCGACACACUGGCUCAUUACUGACGCUGAGGCGCGAAAGCGUGGGGAGCAAACAGG